ensembl:lncRNA
GUAGCCAGGCUCCGCCCCCAGGUAGCCAGGCUCCGCCCCCAGAGCCUCGGGCCGGAGGUCAGGAGGUGACGUCAGGGUGGUCAGCAGAGGCCGGGCUGGACGUCAGCUGCGGCGACACCACCGAAAGCCCGAGGUGGGCGAGGGGAAGGAGACCAAGCUCUGGGGACCCUCCUGAGGUCAGGGGCGCAUCCGCGGGACGCAGCCCUGCCCCGGAGCAGGUGCUGCUGGCGUGAAGCUCUACAGCAGCAGGGCCAGUGAGGGCUGGGGUGAGGCCAGGGGUGGGGGUGGACCCGGCCAGGCUGGGGGGCCCCGGCUGUGAGGGAGGAGCCUGCCCGGUGUCCACCGGGCUGCAGGGUCAGCUGGGCCAGGCCCAGGGUGUGGCCUUGGGUGGCAGCCAGCGUCCACAGGGCAAGGCCGUGGGGCAGGCCUUGCCUGAGUCAGCUCUGAACCCAUGAGAGGCUGGCAAAGUGUCCAGGAGGGUGGGGCACCUGACCAAGGUCCUCAGAUGGGGGACAGGUUGGAGGUCAGAGGUUGGAGGAAGGAGGAGGGGCUGCUCAGACUGGGGUUUGGGAAAGGCAGGGUCAGAGGUAGCUGGGGAGCAGGUGGGCCCUCCGCCCUGAAGUCCACGGGGCUCGGAGGGGACAGCCUCCGAGGAAAACCCCUGCCCUACAUCCUCAGUUCCCCUGAGCAGGACUCUGUCACUGCUCUGCUCAGAGGCCAGGCAGGUGGGCUGGCUCCCCAUCGGCCCUGGACCACACUCGGCCCCUGGGCUCUGGAGGGGAGUUUCCCGUGAAGGAGAGCAUCGUGGGCAGUGGGUGACUGGCCCAGGCAGCACCCAGGUCUGGACGCUUCAGGCACAGGAGGAGGGGGCCUCCCGCAUCUCCAGAUACACCGGGGCCCAGCCCGCAGCCCAGCCCCACCCAGCCCAGGUGCGACCCCCCAGCAAAGCCUCGCGGGGCAGCCCCCCCUGCCGAGGCCUCUGCCUGAGCUCCUGGCCGUGAAGGGAGAGACCACCGCAGGCUGUGGGCAGCGUGGAAGGCGCGCGUCAGACGGCCACUGGGGUAAGACUCCGGGUGGGGUCAGCGCGGAAGCAGGACGGCCAGUGGGCUGUGGCCUCUGGGGAUUCCUAGGGGCUCCCGGGGAAUGUGAGGCUGCCUGGGGCCCCGAAGGAACCCUGGGCCUCGCGGCUUCAGGGCCUGGAUGUACGCCCGGCAGGCCCAGGUCUCUGCCGCAGGCCCCGGAGCCGGUGCCCAGGCGGAAGCGUCUGGAGAGGCGGGGCUGGGGCGGCCCGGCUGGACCUGCGCGUCCAGGGGAGGCGGGAAGGCGAGCACAGCCGCUCUGGAUAAGGAAGGAGGAAGGGCCUUGGGUGAGCAGGCCUGACAGGCCCCAGGGGAAGAGCUCCCCAAGAGCCGGGCUUCCAGCACGAACCACGACGACGGCCCAGAGCCGAGGGCAGCGCCGCCUCCGUCUACAAACCCUCUCAGGAGGAGGGUGGGCCCCGCGGCCAGGAAGACACGGGCGGGCGAAGGCCCGACCUGCAUUCCUAAGUGUUUCUGCAGGAAGCAGGCCCCACAAGACGAAAGAGGCUGACUGCGAGCGAGCGCAAGGACCCCAGAUGAGGUUCAGCCAGAAGGUUGGUGAUGCGCAAAGCUUUGCCAGCCAAUCAGGGCACGAGGUGAUCAGAGCACAGCCUAUCAGCUCAGUUCGGUGGCUCAGUCCUGUCAGACGGUUGCAACGCCCGGGACUGCAGCACGCAAGGCUCCCCUGUCCUUCACCCUCUCAUGGAGCUUGCUCAGAUCCAUGUCCACUGAGUCCGUGAUGCCCUCCAACCAUCUCAUCCUCUG